rnacentral:rRNA from 1 species
AUUGAACGCUGGCGGCAGGCCUAACACAUGCAAGUCGAGCGAUAACGGUCUUCGGACUUAUUAAAGCGGCGGACGGGUGAGUAACACGUAUGCAACCUACCUCUUACAGAGGGAUAGCCCAGAGAAAUUUGGAUUAAUACCUCAUAAUAUUUUUGACCCGCAUGAGUUUUAAAUUAAAACUUCGGUGGUAAAAGAUGGGCAUGCGUUCUAUUAGUUUGUUGGUGAGGUAACGGCUUACCAAGACCACGAUAGAUAGGGGUUCUGAGAGGAUAGUCCCCCACACUGGUACUGAGACACGGACCAG